AACGGAGUCAUUAAUAAGGCACUCAAAAUUUCCUGUACACCCUGGAGGGUGUCAGUCUGAGACUUGUGUCCACCACACUGCCCAUCUGUGAGUCUGUUUCUGCAGCUCUCUCCUCCAGAGGCAGGUCCAGCUUCCUUGAAGAGCAGAGUCUAACAGUUGGUUAUGUGAGCCUUGGCUUGGACUCCUGGAAAGAGUAUUAAAGAACUAUUAAAACCCUGAGGACUCUAUGAGAUGAACUAAAUGCAUAAUGGAGGCCAUCGCCUUUGGGAAGUUAGGGACAGAGUGCUGUGGUUUGGAUGAAGCAUCUUUCAACACAGACUCAUAUGUUGAAGAUUUAUUCCCCAGAUUGUGGUGGAGCUAUUGCAGGUGAUUGGAUAAUGAUGACACUAAUCCCACCAAUGAGUCAAUUCACCGAUGAACUCAUAUAAUUCAUAGGUGCCACCAAUCUGCUGAUUGUCUGUGAGACACCUUCUCCCAGGCUACAAUAAGACUUUCAACUUGGAGGCUAGGGGCACAUCAACACCUGAAAUCCAACUGCUUUCUCCAAAGCCCAACACCUCUCCCAUCUUGCCCAUCCUGUGGCCUGUGCAUCAGACAACAUGAAUUUGAUCCACCAUAGGUCAGACACCUGUCCUUUGAGUUAAAUUCAAGUGGUAUGUUAUCAGUUUCUGCACCUAACUCUGAAGUCAUUGCCCUGGUAGAGCCUCAAUUAUUUGGUCCGAGCUGAAUAUUAGGAAGC